rnacentral:rRNA from 1 species
AUUGAACGCUGGCGGCAUGCCUUACACAUGCAAGUCGAACGGUAACGCGGGGCAACCUGGCGACGAGUGGCGAACGGGUGAGUAAUGCAUCGGAACGUGCCCAGUAGUGGGGGAUAGCCCGGCGAAAGCCGGAUUAAUACCGCAUACGACCUACGGGUGAAAGCGGGGGACCGUAAGGCCUCGCGCUAUUGGAGCGGCCGAUGUCAGAUUAGGUUGUUGGUGGGGUAAAAGCCUACCAAGCCGACGAUCUGUAGCUGGUCUGAGAGGACGACCAGCUACACUGGGACUGAGGCACGGCCCAGACUCCUACGGGAGGCAGUAGUGGGGAAUUUUGGACAAUGGGGGCAACCCUGAUUCAGCCAUGCCGCGUGCGGGAAGAAGGCCUUCGGGUUGUAAACCGCUUUUGUCAGGGAAGAAACGCUCUGGGCUAAUACCCCGGGGUAAUGACGGUACCUGAAGAAUAAGCACCGGCUAACUACGUGCCAGCAGCCGCCGUAAGAC